rnacentral:rRNA from 1 species
CUUGACAUCCAGAGAAUUUAGCAGAGAUGCUUUAGUGCCCUCGGGAACUCUGAGACAGGUGCUGCAUGGCUGUCGUCAGCUCGUGUUGUGAAAGUGUUGGGUUAAGUCCGCAACGAGCGCAACCCUUAUCCUUUGUUGCCAGCACGUAAUGGUGGGAACUCAAAGGAGACUGCCGGUGAUAAACCGGAGGAAGGUGGGGAUGACGUCAAGUCAUCAUGGCCCUUACGAGUAGGGCUACACACGUGCUACAAUGGCGUAUACAAAGAGAAGCGACCUCGCGAGAGCAAGCGGACCUCAUAAAGUGCGUCGUAGUCCGGAUUGGAGUCUGCAACUCGACUCCAUGAAGUCGGAAUCGCUAGUAAUCGUAAAUCAGAAUGUUACGGUGAAUACGUUCCCGGGCCUUGUACACACCGCCCGUCACACCAUGGGAGUGGGUUGCAAAAGAAGUAGAUAGCUUAACCUUCGGGAGGGCGUUUACCACUUUGUGAUUCAUGACUGGGGUGAAGUCGUAACAAGGUAAGCGUAGUGCU